CGCUAGCCCAAGACAAGCAUGCACGUUGCGCGGGAGCGGCCGCAUACAAGAAUUCGCGGUGAGAACGUCGUCGACCGCAUUACCGCCAACCCACAAAGGACUGCGAUCUCAAGGCCUUGCUCCUUCAGCUGUAGCGCGACGUGAGCCCUGCCAUUUCACUUUCAAGAUACGUAAGCUGCUUCGACCCUGAAAAUGCCGACGCAAUGGUGCAUCUGAACAGCCAAUGGAUACCAUGCCCACUCUGUAACGACCAGUGCUUUUAAUGAAACAGCACAGCAGAAUAGUCAACCACGUGAGGCACCUCAGACAGCAUAUGCAGUGGGUUGUGACGGAUUUAAUGAUUUCAUCAGCAUUUUCACUGGAUGCAAGGCUGUGAAUCUCUUGUAUGAUGCAUGUGUGGAAAAGAAACCCAACAUCCGGUGCACAUGCCUGCUUGAAACAGUCGGGCAUAUCCCAUUAGUUGAGUGCCCCCGUGUCGGCAUUUGCUGAUGUGAUCCCAGCUAUCUUCACCCAUUACAUUCUGCUGAAUUUACUGCAGCCACCCUUUGGAAAAAUAACACAUGGCAAUUAUUUCAAGGUAAUUAGUUCUCCCAUACAGAAAAAAUACCAUUAGCAGUACUCGUGGGUGAUAAUCUGCCAGUUUGCAAUGGUGGCGAGCAUAAAUACCACUAGCUGUAGUAA